GACGAUGAAGCCUCGGUCGACGAUCUGGAAUAUAAACAAAUUCCUUGUUUGGGUUCAUGGGGAGAGUAUUAAUGGCUUAAUUUGGUCCUAAAUGGAUAGGCAAAUUAAUUUUUUUAAAAAUUUUUAGUCCAACAACAUCAACAACCAUCAGCAUCUUCAAUACUGUAUCAGCAUAACCACCACCAUCGUCAUCAUCUUAUAAUCAUUUAUAUCAUUAUAACCAUCCUCAUCGUCAUAAAGGAAUGGCGAUUUAGAAAAAGAAUAAUGAAUAAAUUGUUUUGAUACCUCACCAGGUGGCGUUUUAAAUAUAGACAAUAGUGUGUACGGUUGGAAGACUAUACGAAGGGGACUUUUCAAUUAAAGUAAUAACAAAUAUCAUAUGAUUUAUGUAGUGAUGUUUAGUACAGGAGAGCCACUUAAUCAUCAGUGGUGGACAAGGAAUACACAAAUAUCAGGAAAGACUGUUCGGACUCGAUCGUGAAUGGGCAACAGAGCUUACCAACUAAUAUUAUAUAUAGCCAUAAAUGUUGUCAAUAAUCAAGCUUCCUGCACAAAUUCUGGAUAUAAAAAUAAAUAAAAUAUUGUGUGAUUUUUUAAAAAAUAUUUUCCUCUGCAAAAAUCUAAAAAAUAAUGUUAGAAAUAUGUAUUAAUUCUUGUAGGCUUUAUGUUUAAUAUUGUAUUAUUAAUACUGAUGUUUAUCUUAAUAACGGAGAAAAUAAACCGUAAUAUUGUUGCAAAGAAUAUAGACAUAUGUAAGAUAUGUAAUAUAUACAAUUUUUUGGAUUAAAUUCAGGUCUUGAUUUUUCCCGAAUGUAUGUAAUAUAUAUAGGUCUAUAUAUACCGUAUAUAUAAGCUAAGUAUACAUAUAUCCCAACUUGAUUUCAAUGCUUGGAAAUAAAUAUCAA